UACGUAGGGGCCAAGCGUUGUUCGGAUUUACUGGGCGUAAAGGGCGCGUAGGCGGCGUGUUAAGUCACUUGUGAAAUCUCUAAGCUUAACUUAGAACGGUCAAGUGAUACUGAUGUGCUAGAGUGCAGAAGGGGCAACCGGAAUUCUUGGUGUAGCGGUGAAAUGCGUAGAUAUCAAGAGGAACACCUGAGGUGAAGACGGGUUGCUGGGCUGACACUGACGCUGAGGCGCGAAAGCUAGGGUAGCAAACGGG
rnacentral:rRNA from 1 species